rnacentral:misc_RNA from 1 species
AUUCUUUUUCUGUUUCAUUAAAGCUUGUUCAAAGUUAGUCUUAUGAGUAAACCCGACCAAGUAACAACAAACUUAAUUUCAUCUUUGUUUAAAAAUAUUUCUUUAAAUAAUAAAUAUUUAACUUUCUAAAGAAGACUAUUAUAAUGGGAAUAAUGGAGUUAUAGUAUCUUCUCAGUGUUAUCAGAUAAGGAGUAUACUAGUGUUAUGAACUGGCCUAUUAUAGGAAUAAAUGCUUUAUUCUAAUAAUUGAUAAAGUAAAAUGAGUUUACGGGAUACUGCCACUAAUUUGGCACGUGAACUAUUACAAAAGACAACUAAAACACCUCAUCAGAAAACUAUACUUUUUGUGGGAUCCAGAUCUGUGGGAAAAACAACUUUAAUCAACAGAUUUCUGGAUAGAAAUGACCCAGCCAAGAAGACUCUAACAUUGGACUAUACAUUUGCAAGAAAAACUAGCAGUCACAGCCUUACCAAAGAUAUAUGUCACAUUUGGGAGCUUGGUGGAGGUGCACUUUUCACAUCUGUACUUGUAAAUGGAAACUCAUUUACUAGCUAUGGACCCUUGAGUGUAGUAUUAAUGUUGGAUUUAUCCGAACUUGGACAACUAUGGAACUGCAUGGAGUCCUUGCUGGAUAGUAUAAAGCGGAGUCUAAGCCUUGCUAACCAGCAGAUAGAUGAGUUGGCCCAAAGAAUAUGUGAUGAUCACCCUGACAGACCCUUUAUGGAUCCAUUUCCCACACCUUUGGUCAUAAUUGGCGGAAAGUACGAUAUUUUUCAGGAAUAUGAACCAGAAAAGAGAAAGAUUGUUUGUCGGUGUUUACGUUAUAUAUCACAUGUCCUGUGUGCAACCUUACUUUUUUAUAGUAGCAAAGAUGCCGCCCUUGUGAAAAGGGUUAAGGAUGUAUUGAAUCAUCAUGCUUUUGAUGCACCUCUGUUGAAAACUACUUGUCAAGAUUAUAACAAGGCAGUGUGUGUGCCUUGUGGAUCAGAUUUGUUUGAGAGCAUUGAAGGUGUACGAACCGUGACCAAACACUCCUUGGAUAAAAUGAGAAAUUUUUAUACAACCCACUUUCCUCAGGAUGAAUCCAAAGCGUCAUCUACAAUCCUUGAAGAUCCUAAUCCAGUGAAUGAUCCUAAUUUUAGAGAACCAUUGAUCGAUGCACUGAGAAGACAGAAAGAUGAGCAGGUACCAGCUUGUUUUGGCAAAGUAUGAACCAACUGUGUAUACUAAAAACUAAGUUUACUAAUCUCAAAUUGCCAAAACUAAAAGAAAGCUAGCAAUAAGGAAUGAAAACGAGAUGUAUUGAUAACUUUUUGGUCACAUUGGUUGUUAAUUGGUCAUCACAAUAAAGUUUCACCACAUCAUAUUCUCCUGUGCAGGAGCUGGAGCGAUAUUGUCUAGAAAUGGAAAGAAGAGAAAAAAGAAGUCUCUAGUAAUGAUCAGGAAGAAUAAGUUAUAAACAUUUAAACACUAUUUUUAUAUGUGAGUUAAGUUACAUUUAAAUUUAAUGAAAUUUUCAUGCUUUAAAUUUAAAAUUGUAGAUAUAAUUAUUUAUUAUUUGUGUUAAACUCUGAAAUUAUAUUUAAACAGAGCACUCAUUUAGAAGCUGUUAUGUCUUAAAAUUAAUGUUUAGUGGGGUAGAUUAAGUCUGUAAGAGAAAUUUGUUGGUAUUUAUGAAUGAUUCAUUGAUAAAAGAGUACAAACUUUGUGUUUUUGUUCAUAGGAAAAUUAAAACUGCUUAAUAAAGGUUAUAAUUUCUUAGCAAACGUUUUUCAUCAAAAAAUGUAUUUAGUUACAGAGUAGAUUUAUUGCAGUUUAAAAAUAUGUACAUCAUUUUAUCUUCAUUAUUUCUUAAGACAAAAUUUUAAACAGGCAUUCAGCAUAAAGCCAGUUUGGACAAUAUUGUUUGCAAUAAACAUGAAUAUGUGAUAAAUACCUUUGUAAAAUUUGCUUAAAUACUUAAAUUAAACUUCAUUAAGCUACUUUUUAUUCAUUAGGCAUUUUGGGCUUUUAUAUUUAUUUAUUUAUUUAUUUAUUUAUUUAUUUUUUUAUUUUAUUCUCAAACAAUUAUUAGAUAAAUAUUUAUUUGCUUACUGGCUUUUAAAACACUGAUUCUGAAAGCCAACAAUAAUUUGUUUCAUUGAACUAUAAAACAUUGAACACUUUUUAAGCUAUCGUAACUUAAAAGUGAAAUAUAAAAUAAAACAAAUUUAUCUUUAGAUUGGUGCAAAAAGAGUGUAACUGGAAAACAAAUAGUGAAUGAUGGAAUUUUGCUUGAAAACGAAAUGAAUAUAAAUUUUCAUGACUUAGUAACAGAUGAAAAUUUGAAUUGCAAUAGACACACUAAAUUUGGACUAAAAUUAAUUUACCAUUUAUUAAAGUUAUAAUUAUUAAAAAUUGUGUUACACAUUUGCAAAAUUAAAAAUCUAAUAAUCAUAUAUUUUUUCUACUUACAUAGAAUUAUUUACAAAAAUUAGUGUUGUGAAAUAAAUUAGUAUUUAGUAAAUGAGGGAUGAAUGUUAUUCUAACAUAAUAAUAGGGAGAACCUAAGGUAAAUUACCAUUUAGUUCCAAGCCAAACAGUUAACUAAUCAAAUAGUUAAGGCAUAGUACAACAAAGUUAGAAAUUGUAUAAGAGUAUACAUUUGAACUCACAGGGUUUGAGUGUGUUGAUUAACUAGAUGUAUACCAAAUACCAGUGGGCUAGGUAGAGGGAUGCCAAUUAGGGAAUAACUCCAUUGUUCUUGGGACUUUGGACUGGGACACUGCUACUCCAGAUUGGCAGAGGUAUAAACACUGUUUCUUCACACACUAAAAUCUUAGGGUUAUGAUGCGUUUAAGUUACUUAAAAAUGCGAAUGCGAAGAAAAAUCACUACGAGUUACUCAUUGAAUACAGUUGAGAGAUGGUGUUUCUUGAAAAUAGCACAUACUAAAUGGGAAAAGAGAGGACUGAAAGAAAGUAUUAUGACUAAACAGCCACAUGGUGAAAUGAGAGUUCAGAAGUAACUAUACCAAAAAAAUAUCCUGGCCAAGUUGUGUGAAAGUGAGGAAGUAAUGACCAGAUUUGUAGAACAGCAAAUCAUGGUUUCUAAACUAAGACAAUGCACCAGUACAAAACACUUUCUGUGAAGCAGUUUAUUGAUAAGGGCAUUCCUGUUCCCAAAGUGAAAAGUACAAUAAUGGGAAAACAUUUUCAAUCUGUAGAAAUCAUUGUUUAAGAGCCUGUCACAUGAUUGUCUACAACUCUGCUUUGAACAAUGGAAAAUUUCACUUUCAGAGGUGCUUAGAUAGAGAAGAUUAGUACCGUAUGUUAAGGGGAAUAACAAUCUUUUGUAAAAUUUUUUGAAUAAAGUACAUUUUUCAGACUAA